AUUAAAUUGAGAGUUUGAUCCUGGCUCAGGACGAACGCUGGCGGCGUGCUUAAC
rnacentral:rRNA from 1 species